rnacentral:rRNA from 1 species
CCUACGGGAGGCAGCAGUGGGGGAUAUUGCACAAUGGGGGAAACCCUGAUGCAGCGACGCCGCGUGUGGGAAGACGGUCCUCUGGAUUGUAAACCACUGUCCCCAGGGACGAAGAUGACGGUACCUGGUGAGGAAGCUCCGGCUAACUACGUGCCAGCAGCCGCGGUAAUACGUAGGGAGCGAGCGUUGUCCGGAAUUACUGGGUGUAAAGGGAGCGUAGGCGGGACUGCAAGUUGGGGGUAAAAUCUACCGGCUCAACCGGUAGCCGCACUCAAAACUGCAGUUCUUGAGUGAAGUAGAGGCAGGCGGAAUUCCUAGUGUAGCGGUGAAAUGCGUAGAUAUUAGGAGGAACACCAGUGGCGAAGGCGGCCUGCUGGGCUUUUACUGACGCUGAGGCUCGAAAGUGUGGGGAGCAAACAGGAUUAGAUACCCUAGUAGUC